GAAGUCCAGAGAGGCAGCAGGCCUCGUGGUCCUUCCUUCUCGUUUCUAGCUGAGAAGAGUGGAGCUGGUUGGCUGGUGGCACAGGGACAAACGCCACCUUUGGCUCCCAGUGACAAUGAGUUAUCACGCAGGAGGGCCACAUCCAGGAGCUCGAACUGUAAAGUGAUGAACAGAACCCUCAGCUGCCCCAUGUUUCUCCCUCUAGAUGAAGAUGAACACAAUGAAGAUGGCUGGUGUCUCCAGCACCCAUCUUUGAAGCUUUCCCCGCACUCCACUGGGGCUGUGCAGAGGAGGAGCCAGCCCAGCAUUACUGUGUGUCUUCAUUUCACACACAUUGACGUGAAGAUGCUA